rnacentral:rRNA from 1 species
AUCCUUGAAAUACCACCCUUUAAUGGCUGGUGUUCUAACGUGGACCCGUUACCCGGGGUGCGGACAGUGUCUGGUGGGUAGUUUGACUGGGGCGGUCUCCUCCUAAAGAGUACCGGAGGAGCACGACGGUUAGCUAAUCCUGGUCGGACAUCCGGAGGUUAGUGCAAAGGCAUAAGCUAGCUUGACUGCGAGAGUGACGGCUCGAGCAGGUGCGAAAGCAGGUCUUAGUGAUCCGGUGGUU